rnacentral:rRNA from 1 species
CCUACGGGAGGCAGCAGUGAGGAAUAUUGGUCAAUGGACGAGAGUCUGAACCAGCCAAGUAGCGUGAAGGAUGACUGCCCUAUGGGUUGUAAACUUCUUUUAUAUGGGAAUAAAAUGUUCCACGUGUGGGAUUUUGUCUUUCCCAUAUGAAUAAGGAUCGGCUAACUCCGUGCCAGCCGCCGCGGUAAUACGGAGGAUCCGUACGUUAUUCGGAUUUUUUGGGUUGAAAGGGAGCGUAGGUGGAUUGUUAAGUCCGUUGUGACAGUUUUCGGCUCAACCGUAAAAUUGCAAUUGAAACUGGCAGUCUAGAGUACAGUAGAGGUGGGCGGAAUUCGAGGUGUAGCGGUGAAAGGCUUAGAGAGCACGAAGAACACCGAUUGCGAAGGCAGUUCACUGGACUGAAACUGACACUGAGGCGCGAAAGUGUGGGUAGCAAACAGGAUUAGAUACCCCAGUAGUC